rnacentral:rRNA from 1 species
UACAGAGGUCCCAAGCGUUGUUCGGAUUCACUGGGCGUAAAGGGUGCGUAGGUGGUGAGGUAAGUCGGAUGUGAAAGCUCGGAGCUCAACUCCGAAAUGGCAUUGGAAACUACCUUGCUCGAGGGUUGGAGGGGGGACUGGAAUUCUCGGUGUAGCAGUGAAAUGCGUAGAUAUCGAGAGGAACACCAGUGGCGAAGGCGAGUCCCUGGACACUUCCUGACACUGAGGCACGAAAGCUAGGGGAGCAAACAGG